UAUUGAUGAUCAGAAUGAUAUAAAGAUAGAGCCAAUGCUGUAGAUGGGUAUGAGGUGUAGAGAGAGGGUUCUCAAAGAGCAAUAGCUGCUGAUGGCGUCACCACUAAUGCUGGUGUUUUUAACUGCUCUCCCUGGGGUCCUCUGCUACCGCUCCUCAUUCAUUGACCUGGAAGCUAAAGGAAGUAACAAGUCAUCUAUCAGGUUCCUGGUUUUGGGGGACUGGGGUGGUCUGCCAUAUCCUCCUUACGUUACCCCUAUAGAGAAGGCCACUGCACGCAUGAUGGCCAAAACUGCUUCUCAGAUGGGCGCAAACUUCAUUUUAGCACUUGGUGACAACUUCUACUAUAAGGGCGUCAGUGACGUCAAUGACCCUAGAUUCCAGGUUUGGUUUCUGGAGUUUAG